AGCAGUGGGGAAUAUUGCACAAUGGGCGCAAGCCUGAUGCAGCCAUGCCGCGUGUAUGAAGAAGGCCUUCGGGUUGUAAAGUACUUUCAGCAGUGAGGAAGGGGGUAUCGUUAAUAGCGGUAUCUUUUGACGUUAGCUGCAGAAGAAGCACCGGCUAACUCCGUGCCAGCAGCCGCGGUAAUACGGAGGGUGCGACCCGUUAAUCGGAAUUACUGGGCGUAAAGCGCAUGCAGGUGGUUUGUUAAGUCAGAUGCCCCCCCCCGGGGCUCAACCUCGGAAUUGCAUUUGAAACAGGCAGGCUAGAGUACUGUAGAGGGGGGUAGAAUUUCAGGUGUAGCGGUGAAAUGCGUAGAGAUCUGAAGGAAUACCGGUGGCGAAGGCGGCCCCCUGGACAGAUACUGACACUCAGAUGCGAAAGCGUGGGGAGCAAACAGGAUUAGAUACCCUGGUAGUCCACGCCGUAAACGAUGUCUACUUGGAGGUUGUGGCCUUGAGCCGUGGCUUUCGGAGCUAACGCGUUAAGUAGACCGCCUGGGGAGUACGGUCGCAAGAUUAAAACUCAAAUGAAUUGACGGGGGCCCGCACAAGCGGUGGAGCAUGU
rnacentral:rRNA from 1 species